AGAUGAAGUAACUCACAACCGUUAGAUCAUCUCGACUUGUACGCACAAAAAAUUUCCAAUCUAGGGUCGUGCAGCUUCUUUCCAUUUUUGUCAUUUCUCUUUCUCUCUCCUAUUUCGCACUUUCUCUCUCCUAUUUCGCAUUUUCUCUCUCCUAAUUCACAUUCAUUGGAAUACAUCGCAGUAACUUCUUCGUUCUCCGGUUAAGGUCUUCGCAAUACUGAACUGUGAUGUGAUAAUGGAGCGAAGAAAGGGUCUUUCUGAAUGCUUCGGACUGAUGUACUUGUUUAUAGAAAUCUGCUGGUUGGGUUUCAGCACAUUAUCUUGAACUUUCAGCUUUGUAGCAAAGAACUUAUGAGAAGCUUCGGACUGAUUAAGAACCUUCUUGUGGUUUGCUUAUAUAUUGUGCAGUAGGUUGCCAUCUUUGUCUGCACUGUGUGUGCAGUCUCUGAAACCUACUUGUAUAGUUGUAUCUAAUAUCUAACUGAAUACUGGUUUAGCUCUAAAUACCAUUAUUCAAUGUUUUUUUUCACAAAUUUGUGGUGAGAAUCUACCCUAUAUAGCUGUUACCCAUGAGGCUUGUAGUUUUUGUGAGGUUGCCACCUGUGGGCUGUGGCAGGGUUUGUGAAGAGAACAGCAAGUGCAUAGACUGGCUUACCAAACUCCCUCAGUUAGACUUCUGCUUUUCUUCAUUGUUUAAGCUUUCUCCAAUUUGACCGAAGGAAGCAAGGAUUCUUUUUAUGUUUUUUCUUUGAGUACCAGCUGGAUCUCUUAACAUUUUUAUUGACAAUAGAUAGGAAGUUUAUGCAUAA